CCUACGGGGGGCAGCAGUGAGGAAUAUUGGUCAAUGGGCGGGAGCCUGAACCAGCCAAGCCGCGUGAGGGAAGAAGGUACAGCGUAUCGUAAACCUCUUUUGUCAGGGAACAAAGGCGGGGACUAGUCCCCGGAUGAGGGUACCUGAAGAAAAAGCAUCGGCUAACUACGUGCCAGCAGCCGCGGUAAUACGUAGGGGGCAAGCGGUAUCCUGAUUUACUGGGUGUAAAGGGAGCGUAGACGGUGCAGCAAGUCUGAUGUGAAAGGUCGGGGCCCAACCCCGGGACUGCAUUGGAAACUGUGGAACUGGAGUACAGGAGAGGUAAGCGGAAUGCCUAGUGUAGCGGUGAAAUGCGUAGAUAUUAGGAGGAACACCAGUGGCGAAGGCGGCUUACUGGACUGUAACUGACGUUGAGGCUCGAAAGCGUGGGGAGCAAACAGGAUUAGAUACCCGUGUAGUC
rnacentral:rRNA from 1 species